rnacentral:rRNA from 1 species
UAUCCCCUACGGGGGGCAGCAGUGGGGAAUAUUGCACAAUGGGGGAAACCCUGAUGCAGCAACGCCGCGUGAGUGAAGAAGUAUUUCGGUAUGUAAAGCUCUAUCAGCAGGGAAGAAAAUGACAGUACCUGACUAAGAAGCCCCGGCUAACUACGUGCCAGCAGCCGCGGUAAUACGUAGGGGGCAAGCGUUAUCCGGAUUUACUGGGUGUAAAGGGAGCGUAGACGGCUGCGCAAGUCAGAAGUGAAAGGCAGGGGCUUAACCCCUGAACUGCUUUGGAAACUGCCAUGCUAGAGUGCUGGAGG